AUUGAACGCUGGCGGCAUGCUUUACACAUGCAAGUCGAACGGCAGCGCGGGCUUCGGCCUGGCGGCGAGUGGCGAACGGGUGAGUAAUACAUCGGAACGUGCCCAGUAGUGGGGGAUAGCUCGGCGAAAGCCGGAUUAAUACCGCAUACGACCUGAGGGUGAAAGCGGGGGAUCUUCGGACCUCGCGCUAUUGGAGCGGCCGAUGGCAGAUUAGCUAGUUGGUGGGGUAAAGGCCUACCAAGGCGACGAUCUGUAGCUGGUCUGAGAGGACGACCAGCCACACUGGGACUGAGGCACGGCCCAGACUCCUACGGGAGGCAGCAGUGGGGAAUUUUGGACAAUGGGCGAAAGCCUGAUCCAGCAAUGCCGCGUGUGUGAUGAAGGCCUUCGGGUUGUAAAGCACUUUUGGCGGGAACGAAAAGGACUGUGCCAAUACCACGGUUCGAUGACGGUACCCGCAGAAUAAGCACCGGCUAACUACGU
rnacentral:rRNA from 1 species